rnacentral:rRNA from 1 species
GACGAACGCUGGCGGCGUGCUUAACGCAUGCCAGUCGAACGGAGAGGCCCUGCUUUUGUGGGGUGCUCGAGUGGCGAACGGGUGAGUAACACGUGAGUAACCUGCCCUUGACUUUGGGAUAACUUCAGGAAACUGGGGCUAAUACCGGAUAGGAGCUCCUGCUGCAUGGUGGGGGUUGGAAAGUUUCGGCGGUUGGGGAUGGACUCGCGGCUUAUCAGCUUGUUGGUGGGGUAGUGGCUUACCAAGGCUUUGACGGGUAGCCGGCCUGAGAGGGUGACCGGCCACAUUGGGACUGAGAUACGGCCCAGACUCCUACGGGAGGCAGCAGUGGGGAAUAUUGCACAAUGGGCGGAAGCCUGAUGCAGCAACGCCGCGUGCGGGAUGACGGCCUUCGGGUUGUAAACCGCUUUCGCCUGUGACGAAGCGUGAGUGACGGUAAUGGGUAAAGAAGCACCGGCUAACUACGUG